GCGUGCAGACUGGAGCAGCCAGGGAUCAAACCUCCAACCUUCCAUAGCAACCAGGACCAUAAUGAACCCUGACUCCAACAGACACUCAGGAGCCACCUGCCCAAGCUGCAUGAACCUGUUGUUGAUGUCAGAGAGUCAAACUCUGCUGAAGAGUGGGUUGUUUCCUGUUCAGCCACUGGUCGACCUGCUCCCACUGUAACACUCUCACAACAAGACCUCAGCUUCUCACAGUACAACACUGUCAGUGUGUCCAACACCAACGCUACAUUCACUGUCACCACUACAGCUGUGCUCUCAGGUUCACGUAAACACAGCACACAGGUGGGAUGUGCAGCACGAGUGCUCUCUGCUCCUCACAGAGAGGUGAUGGAGACGAUUCCUGAGGUCCAGCAGACGUCAGAUUAUCAGUGAUGGUGAGAAACUGAGAUGCAAUAACAAUGCAUUGUGCUAGUAUGCAUUUUCUCUUUGAUCAAUAAUUGAUGUAUUCAUUUUGAUCAGUGUCACAUUUUUCCUGCUUUUUCAAGUUUCCUCCUGGAUCAUUGUAUUAGCUGCAGUAUUGGUGAUGAUGGUCUUUGUCAGUGUUGCUGCUCUGCAGUAGGCUACUCUUUAAAGAAAAAGACCAGAUAACUUUCAUUUUUCAUUUCUUGUCAUUUUUUUCUACACCAAAAUCUAUCCAAUAAUAUCUGCAUAACAUUUUCUACUUGUGAUUUAGUUAUUAAUUCUUUGCUUCAUGAUUCAAUCGGUCUUUGUCUAGUAUUAAAUUUUAUGUUUCCCAUUUAAUCCCACUGGCUUUAAAGUGUUUCACCAGAUUUUUACGAAGUAUUUCCAGUCUUUUGUUGUCUCUGUCCCAAAUGUUCUGAAAUGUGUUGCAUGUAUUAAAAGAAGUUGGACCAAAAAAUGUACUAUGUACUUACAAACUUACAUUUAUGAAAGCUGAACAAACAUUGAUGUACUUGACUUUUGUAACAGUGAAAAGGCGAUCUGUUUUUAUUGAUAAAUAUAUAUGUUUGCAUUACUGUUAUUUAGAUUGCCAUGUUAGAACGUAGCAAACAACAUUGUUUGUUCCUCUAUGGUUUCUUUAUUUUUACAAAUCUAAAUGUUUUUGGUCAAAAGAUUAAUAAUUUCAUAUUGAGGUCAGAUGGUCAGCAGUUUUGAUGUUUUUGCAGAGAUUUUAUUUUUUGCAAAAUAGCACAAGUAAACAUUAAAAGUCGUUCCUAAAUCAAGGCAUUUAUUAUUAAGGCGGCCAUUAUUAUGGCCCUGUGUGGAAAAAGUGAUUGCCCCCUAAACCUAAUAACUGGUUGGGCCACCCUGA